AUGAACGCUAGCGACAGGCUUAACACAUGCAAGUCGAGGGGCAGCACAGGUAGCAAUACCGGGUGGCGACCGGCGCACGGGUGAGUAACGCGUAUGCAACUUACCUAUCAGAGGGGGAUAACCCGGCGAAAGUCGGACUAAUACCGCAUGAAGCAGGGGCCCCGCAUGGGGAUAUUUGCUAAAGAUUCAUCGCUGAUAGAUAGGCAUGCGUUCCAUUAGGCAGUUGGCGGGGUAACGGCCCACCAAGCCGACGAUGGAUAGGGGUUCUGAGAGGAAGGUCCCCCACAUUGGUACUGAGACACGGACCAAACUCCUACGGGAGGCAGCAGUGAGGAAUAUUGGUCAAUGGCCGAGAGGCUGAACCAGCCAAGUCGCGUGAGGGAUGAAGGUUCUAUGGAUCGUAAACCUCUUUUAUAAGGGAAUAAAGUGCGGGACGUGUCCCGUUUUGUAUGUACCUUAUGAAUAAGGAUCGGCUAACUCCGUGCCAGCAGCCGCGGUAAUACGGAGGAUCCGAGCGUUAUCCGGAUUUAUUGGGUUUAAAGGGUGCGUAGGCGGCCUUUUAAGUCAGCGGUGAAAGUCUGUGGCUCAACCAUAGAAUUGCCGUUGAAACUGGGGGGCUUGAGUAUGUUUGAGGCAGGCGGAAUGCGUGGUGUAGCGGUGAAAUGCAUAGAUAUCACGCAGAACCCCGAUUGCGAAGGCAGCCUGCCAAGCCAUGACUGACGCUGAUGCACGAAAGCGUGGGGAUCAAACAGGAUUAGAUACCCUGGUAGUCCACGCAGUAAACGAUGAUCACUAGCUGUUUGCGAUACACUGUAAGCGGCACAGCGAAAGCGUUAAGUGAUCCACCUGGGGAGUACGCCGGCAACGGUGAAACUCAAAGGAAUUGACGGGGGCCCGCACAAGCGGAGGAACAUGUGGUUUAAUUCGAUGAUACGCGAGGAACCUUACCCGGGUUUGAACGCAUUCGGACCGAGGUGGAAACACCUUUUCUAGCAAUAGCCGUUUGCGAGGUGCUGCAUGGUUGUCGUCAGCUCGUGCCGUGAGGUGUCGGCUUAAGUGCCAUAACGAGCGCAACCCUUGCCACUAGUUACUAACAGGUAAAGCUGAGGACUCUGGUGGGACUGCCAGCGUAAGCUGCGAGGAAGGCGGGGAUGACGUCAAAUCAGCACGGCCCUUACAUCCGGGGCGACACACGUGUUACAAUGGCGUGGACAAAGGGAAGCCACCUGGCGACAGGGAGCGAAUCCCCAAACCACGUCUCAGUUCGGAUCGGAGUCUGCAACCCGACUCCGUGAAGCUGGAUUCGCUAGUAAUCGCGCAUCAGCCACGGCGCGGUGAAUACGUUCCCGGGCCUUGUACACACCGCCCGUCAAGCCAUGGGAGCCGGGGGUACCUGAAGUCCGUAACCGCGAGGAUCGGCCUAGGGUAAAACUGGUGACUGGGGCU
rnacentral:rRNA from 1 species